AGGACGAACGCUGGCGGCGUGCUUAACACAUGCAAGUCGAGCGGAAAGGCCCUUCGGGGUACUCGAGCGGCGAACGGGUGAGUAACACGUGAGUAAUCUGCCCCUAGCUCUGGGAUAGCUCCGGGAAACCGGGAUUAAUACCGGAUAUGACCACUUUAGACAUCUGCUGUGGUGGAAAGAAUUUCGGCUAGGGAUGAGCUCGCGGCCUAUCAGCUUGUUGGUGGGGUAACGGCCUACCAAGGCGACGACAGGUA
rnacentral:rRNA from 1 species